CCUACGGGAGGCAGCAGUGAGGAAUAUUGGUCAAUGGACGAGAGACUGAACCAGCCAAGUAGCGUGAAGGAUGACUGCCCUAUGGGUUGUAAACUUCUUUUAUAAAGGGAUAAAAUGAGUCACGUGUGCCUUUUUGCAUGUACUUUAUGAAUAAGGAUCGGCUAACUCCGUGCCAGCAGCCGCGGUAAUACGGAGGGUCCGGGCGUUAUCCGGCUUUAUUGGGGUUAAAGGGAACGUAGUUGGGUGGUUAAGUAAGCUGUGAAAUUUUGCGGCUCAACCGUGAAAUUGCAGUUGAUACUGGCAGUCUUGAGUACAGUUGAGGUAGGCGGAAUUCGUGGUGUAGCGGUGAAAUGCUUAGAUAUCACGAAGAACCCCGAUGGCGAAGGCAGCUUACUAAACUGUGACUGACAUUGAUGCUCGAAAGUGUGGGUAUCAAACAGGAUUAGAUACCCGUGUAGUC
rnacentral:rRNA from 1 species